rnacentral:lncRNA from 1 species
UUGACCUUCAUUUCCAUAUAAAGUUUGUGCAUUUAUCAUUUGUGGAUUGUGAGCUUUGAAUUUUUGAAGUUAUGUGUUACAUUUGUUCUAUACCAUGAUCAUGCAUUUUCCUAAUUUUCAUUGCCAUACUCCUUAUCUCCAAAUGACUUGAUUUUUUGCAUGAGCCUACUCUUGUAUGUCUAGUUUACUUGUGAAUUUUCUUGGAUUUAAUUGAACUAUUUUCC